CGGUUCAGUAGUCCAGAGGCUAGGCGUUCGCUCACGAGGCCAAAGGUCCUGGGUUCAAAUCCCAAGUGUGGGAU
rnacentral:tRNA from 1 species